AUGAACUUCUUAAUCUGUGAAAAUGUGCACACGACUCCGCUAAAUAGUAGUGGGCACUGCACUUGCCGGCGACAGCGGCGUAUUUCCGCUAUUUUUAUUCUUCAAAACAAAACAAAACAGUGCACUUUUCAAUUUUAUCGAAAUAAAUAAAACAAACAAAUCGUAACGAGAGAACUGCCGCCGCUGAUACUUUAGAAUGCAUGGGAGCUCAUCAGUUGGACAAUUGCGAUAGAGUUGUCAGCCAGUCGUUGAGGUCAAAGUGGAGUGCAAUGCACUGCGACAGAGGUUGUUUGUUGGUGCGCAUUGCGAAAUAUGAGGCUUUGGACAACGCAAACCGCAAAACAAGAAGAUUAUGUACUAAGUGCAACAACAACAAGAACAACAACAAAAGCGUCAAAAUGGCACAAUAAAGUGAAGUAGGAGACUAUGAGUACAUUGCGAAUUCGAGAGCUGGCCAGUUAUUGGAUAUCUUACGCCUGCAAAGGGAAAAGAACAAAAAAAAAAGAGAUAUUUGUAAUCUAAUAGAUAAAUUGUAUGCAUUGUUGUUGAUGCAUGUAAAACAAGCUAUGCAUGGCGAGAUUGCUUACAACGACCGGCGAAUUGUGUUACGCUUUGUAACUUUAUCGCGAUUGCAAUAAAAAUGUAGUGUAGUGUAUUUGCGUAAAUGUUGUAGAAAUAAUAAAAAUUACACAUCAACAACAUUAUUUCAACAACUCUUUCGGCUAUCUCUUUCGAAGUUUUCGACGGUGCGUCCAUUUUUGUGGCAGACCGUCGUCAUCGAAAACUAAUGAAAACAUCAAUUAAAGUAUCUGUUGAGGAUAUUUAGUUUAUGAUUUGGGUUUGCAUCAGGUUGCUGCAAAGUUCGUUCCAAAGCUACUGAAUGUCAUGCAAAAAAUAGACCGCGUCGAUAUCGGCAAAGACAUGAUUGCCAAGCCUGAAUCCGACCCAAAAUUCAUCAAACGCAUCAUUACUGGAGACGAGACGUGGGUUUAUGAGAACGACACGCAAUCCAGAUAUCAAGGAGUGAGUGGAGAGCUCCGAAUGAGCCAAGACCAAAAACAACCACAUUUUUUUCAGUCAAAGCAGAAAGCGAUGCUAAUUUUUUCAGGUUUUUAUAGAUUACAACGGUGUUGUACACCACAAUUUUUUGCCAGAAACUCAGACAGACUAUUAUGUGGGCGUUAUAAGGCAUUUAUGUGAAGCAUUUUACCCAAAAAAAGAAAGAAUUUUUGACCAAGAAUGAAAUGAAUAUCAUCCAGCAGCCAUCGAAUUCACCAGAUAAGGCUCCCUGCGUUUGCCUUAUGUCUGAUCGAGUCAAAAAACCACUGCCGGGAACGCGUUUUAAUAGCCGAAAGGAAGUAAUGGAAAAAUCGAAGACGGCUCUUAUGGCUAUACCGAAAAUAGAGUUCGAGAAAUAUUUCGAUAGCUGUAUCAAACGCUGACAUAAGUGCGUUGCAGUUGAUGAGGAGUACUUUGAAGGCGAUAAUAUAACUUUUGAGGAGGAAACUUGAAUCUUGAAUUUUCUAAAUAUA